rnacentral:rRNA from 1 species
UACGUAGGUGGCUAGCGUUAUCCGGAAUUACUGGGCGUAAAGGGUGCGUAGGUGGUUUCUUAAGUCAGAGGUGAAAGGCUACGGCUCAACCGUAGUAAGCCUUUGAGACUGGGGAACUUGAGUGCAGGAGAGGAGAGUGGAAUUCCUAGUGUAGCGGUGAAAUGCGUAGAUAUUAGGAGGAACACCAGUUGCGAAGGCGGCUCUCUGGACUGUAACUGACACUGAGGCACGAAAGCGUGGGGAGCAAACAGG